CGUAGGGUGCGAGCGUUAAUCGGAAUUACUGGGCGUAAAGCGUGCGCAGGCGGUUUGUUAAGAUAGGCGUGAAAUCCCCGGGCUCAACCUGGGAACUGCGCUUAUGACUGGCAAGCUAGAGUACGGCAGAGGGGGGUGGAAUUCCACGUGUAGCAGUGAAAUGCGUAGAGAUGUGGAGGAACACCAAUGGCGAAGGCAGCCCCCUGGGUCGAUACUGACGCUCAUGCACGAAAGCGUGGGUAGCAAACAGGAUUAGAUACCCUGGUAGUCCACGCCCUAAACGAUGUCAACUAGGUGUUGGAUGGGUAAAACCAUUUAGUACCGGAGCUAACGCGUGAAGUUGACCGCCUGGGGAGUACGGCCGCAAGGUUA
rnacentral:rRNA from 1 species